GUUAUGCCAAGCUGUCUGCAUGUCCUACAUCCCUGGCAUAUCUGUUGGGCUGCGACUUUAAUAGGACAGCUAUGACGAUGAUGAUGAUGUUCCACCAUACAGAAGACACAUACACCAGUGCUCUGAUGUCUAACAUUUGCCCCCAAUCUGGAACAGGCCAGACGUGUUCGCUGGGGACAAAGCUGAGAGCAAGCCGGUGGCGUUGGUUGUUGCCUCUCACCCAGUCUGACCCUCAGAUGGAUCCUGCUGCCGAUUGGAGCCAGCUGGUUUCCUGACUCUGAAUCUCCACCCACCCCUCUCGGUCGUGGUUAUUCAGAGAGUCAGUCAUAACACCAGGCCAAAGCUAUCAGAUGCACAUUUCACAAGCAAACAACAUAGCACAGGGAAGCAAAAUCUGGACUGCUGAACUGGAGUGCAUGAUACAAGACAGUGCAGUUUUAAAAAAUGCACCGGGAGAGUAUUCAUUGCUGUUGUGAUCUCACGAACUAAAACUGUAUAUCGGAUUGCAAAUAGGAGACUUUUUCAAGCACCUAAUGGAGCUUCUCCUGACAUGGGAACUGGAGAAUACCUGUGUCUCGGAAUCUAAAUAGCUUUUACUCCUUACAAAAUUUUGAGAGUAAAAGUAACAUUCUCUAAAAAAGUUGCAACGUUUUCUGAACUCUGCCCUAUCCUUGUUCAAAUCCAGACAACACUCUACUCCACUCAGAUUGACCUCACUUCUCUGGCAGGCGUGAGAAUAUAGCACCACAUGCACAGCGCCAGGGAGCCUGUCUGUGUCUGUCUGUGCCACUUUCCUAUGCUAAUGCCAGUUCAGUUCAGUUCAGUUCUGUCGGCUAUCCACUGCGGCUUCUGUCAUACUCUUGAACAAUAACACCACUGCAAGCAAGUAAACCAUGCAGAAAAUUAGUCAGACAGGCACAAUCCAUUCUCGAAAAAUGAUGCAAAAGGGAUUAGGUGAUUGACUUGCCAGCUGUUUUCUAGUUUGCUAUACUGGGUCAAUAACUCUUCUAAGUGAAAGCACUGUUCUGAUGACAAGACAGAUAAUUUUAUCAGGGUAAUGUGACAUCUUCCAACAAAAUGUCCUCUGUUAUUCGAAUCAUGGUACUGCAGACUGUAUAGACCCACUCAAGAGUUUUGGUGUUUGCUGUGUUUGACCUGUUGAAGCCCUGCCUGAUUGUUCCUAAUAUGAAGUUGAGCUUUUUACCCUGGGGCUAGAAAUAUGUGUGCAUAGUGUGUGAAUAUUUCUACUACAUAGUACUUGCGUGUAGAUGUAUGUAUUAUUUUUGCUCUUUGACCAUUUAUAGUAUGUCUGCCGACAAGUAACUGCAAUAGAGAAAUGCCAAAAAAAGAAAUAGUAAUGUUUGUCCACCAGAAAGCAGUUUUAAAAUCCUCAAAAAACUAAUGGUUAACUCUAUAUAUAUUAGUUUUUUUCUGUGUGUGUGUGUGUAUUUUCUGUCCUUGAUGAACAAAUUAAAAGUAUCCCAUAUGAUGGCACUCUAUGUGGGGCAUAUGUUGUACAUGGAAGAGAGCAACUGAAACUGCUGUUUUUCUCAUCUACAACAGUGAAUUAAGGAUUUAUUUCAAGCAAACCAGAGUUGGUGAUUGUUGUUGGAACAGUGGAAAGACUAACAGAGAUGGUUUUAGUGAGUUUUAUUUUGUUUCUGUCCACUUUGGAUGAAGUUAU